UCAGCUUCCACCCGGGCCCGAGGAACCGUCCCCGCCACCCCCAGCAGACAGGACUUCCCCUCUGCUCUCGUCCCGGAGCUCCUGCCGUCUGCCUCCCCGACUUCGUCCCGCGCCCGCACUGCUGCCAACCCCCCCGCCCCCCGCGCAACCUCGGAGCCCCGGCCGCGCGCCCCGCUCCCCCAAGCGCCGCACACCGCCCCGGGCCCCGCGGGAGCUCAGGGCGCGGCGGGGCCCCUCCGCCCGGCCGCGGACACCAGCUCCAGAGCCCGGCCCGAAACCCGUCCUCCUCUGGAGAGGCCAGCCUGCGGCCUUGCGGCUGGUUAGCAAGAGCAUUUCCAGGGGCUGGGUUCGGUGUGCUCGUUUCUGAGCGCCUCCGUCCUCACCCAGGGGCAGCGUCUGGGGAGCCCUUGCUGGCUGCUCGGGCCCCAGGCUCCGAGGUUUCUGGAACAAAACUGCAUUUGGUGUCAAACCCCUUCGCCGACCCUGGAACUAAAGUUAAGUAUGAAUUUUUUUUCCUUCUCAAGUUUUCACGUAGAAGAGAUACUGGGCAAAUUAGACACAUAUUUGGGGAAAAAGUGAGCAGUAAACGCUGGUAUUUAAACCACACAAAAAUGCCCACGCCAGGCCCGACGCCCGGGCGGCCGCUAUGCGCCCGGCCGCUGCGCAGCGCCCUCUGGCGGCGGCGCGCGGGCUCGGCCGUCCCGGGGACAGAGCCGCUCCUCUCGGGGCAACUUUGGAGGAGGGGAGUCGAAAGCGUCCGACGCCGAGGUCCCCUUUUUGGGGCUCCGUGGCUGGCACUGAGGCCAAGAGCCCAGGGAAGGGGCCCACAUAAAAGAAAAACCCUUGUUGCACUUUCGAUGACUACCUGAAAUUCUACCAGUACAGCAUCUCCAUUUUACCUGCAGGCUUUGAUUCUUUUUAAAAUUCAAGCUCCUCAGGAGCGGUGACCCUUCAAAACAAGAGCAGAUGGCAGGCUGUGUCAAAAAAUUACCAACGUCAGCACCAAAAAGAAAUGAUUGUACCAUAAUAUGUACAUUUUAGAUGGUGAGGACUUUUAAUAAGUUAUCAUUUACUCUUCCCCUCGGUAUUGUUUGUUGCCCGGCAUCCGUUUGUACUCUGAACAGGGGUGUUAUUUUAGGCCGACCCUCUCCCAGUGGCCGGUCCCUCCAGAUCGGUUGGCUCCAGCUUUUCCUGUCCCUGGUACAUCCUCAACAUUUCUCCCCUCUGUCUGCUCCUCGCUGUCACGCGGCUGCUUGAGUUUAGGCUCCCACAGCUUACUGUCUGGAUCCCUGCUACUCCAGAGGGAGCGCAGGACCCCAGGGAGAGUGGAGGGGCCUCUCUCAGGUCCUCCCUCUGCCCACAGGAAACACAGCAUCUGCGAAGAGGUAGCCGCCUCUCACUGCUCCCGGAUUGCCUUCCCAAAGGCAGCCGAGUACUCCUGCUUUCAGCUUCCUCACUGACCAUCUGUGAUUUCUUUCCAGAAAAGUACUGCCGUUCCUUCACCUGGUGGAAGCCAGAAGAGGAGAGGGCUCUGGGUCCUGAGGGACCCAGGCCAGUUCUCUCCUGUCAUUUUCCUCUGCAUCUCUUUCCCCUGCCUGAAGGAUUUCUACAUAUCCAUCCUGCCUGGUGGGAAUUCCUCUAACCUCGUAUCUUCCUUCUCCUCGAGAACAGCUGCCUCAAAGCUCUGCCACAGCCGUUCCCAUCCCUCCUUUUGGUCCUCCCUUCCCGCCUGCCAGAGUGAGGAUGCAUCCUUUGACUCUGCUCAGCAAACCUCGGAUGGGGACAAGGGACGCGUGCAGUUGAGGAAGUAAGGGACGAAGACACAGCCACUACCCUCAAGGAACUUCCGAUUUCGUGGGGAGAUACGGACAGGACUUUCUUCCACGGAGGUACCCGCCCCCGCCCUCCCUGGGUGCUGUUGCUGUAAACAGGACUCCAGGUGGUCUGCUAUCAAAUCUCAGAACUCAUCAAAGCUGUAAAACAGGCAAACGCACAAAGAAGGAUCUGGGACCUACACUCGAUGUUCACCCUCUGGCCACGUCUGAUCCGUGAAGCCUCUCUGCUGUAGGCUGGCUGGAGCCCUGGUGAAAGGUGGCUUCUUUUCCAUCCAGGCAGCUAUGACAAGAGGUACAGCCAGGAAGUUGCCAUGCCGACAGGGAAUUCAGUUCUUAAAAUAGUCCACUGUGCUGAGGCAUUUUCAGGGUGGGUGGGUUUGGAGGGAGGGGGUUCGGGAGAGGGGUGGGGAGAGAUGAUAAACUAAUGAGUCAGACCCAACGGAUGACAGCUGUCCCAUCAUCCCUCUGGCAAUGUGAGGUGGGCAGGGCACAGCUCUCUAAAAUGAGGUCGGAAAGAGACAUUUUCCAUUCAAAGAGCAGGCGAGCUCUGUUUCCUCACACUAUUUUCCUGCCUGACAGAAGGAAAUUCCCCUCUCCACCUCCCCUCCCUCUGUGGGUCCACCCUGCGGAGAACAGAAGUAGGCACCCCUCCCCUCACACAGUGCCUGUGGGAUUGGGGGGACUUGUUGCAGAACUGGGAGGGGCAGGCUCUCACACAUGCCUGCCUCACGGCUCUGUCCCUGGUAGGCUCGAGUCUCCUCCUCAUCGUCACAGCAUGGUCAGGGGACGGUAGGGGACAAAAUUCGCCACCCCAGAAUGUGUCUCUUCUGCAAAUGGAUUAUUGUAGGCUGAUUAUUUUGAAGAAACAGAAGGCUCAGGAAGAACCUUUGACCUUACUCUCACUGCCUACAACAAUUUAGAUGGAGGACCUCCUCCAGGAAGGGAGGUUAUCACCCUAGAUAACCAGAGCAUAAUAUGAACUGAGGGUGGCAGACGGGGAGGAACUUAGCAAAGUCUGUUUGUUAAAAUUCCUCUCCAUGUCCCACUGUUUCUGGAUGACGCAGCAAACAUUUUUUUGCUGAACAUUUACUCUUUUUCAUCUUCUUGUGAAUUGUCUUCCUUCCCUUUGUAAUCCCAGACCCCUACCCACUUCUCCUUAGCUCCAGGUGCCACAUAAGCCUCAAUUGCCUGACUGCCUGUGAACAUCAUAUUCCUGUGGAGCCCCUUAGUAUGUAUUUAAAUUUGAUUUUCUCCUGCUAAUCUAUCUCAUGUCAAUUUAAUUCAUAGUCCAGCCAAGAAAGAAAAAACCUUGAAAGAUAGAGAAAAGUUUUUCUUCCCCAGCAGGGCCAAAAUGAAAGUAUAUCACUAAAGAUGUCUUUUAGACAGACAGACCAAUCAAUCUGCCAUCAUUCUUUGAGCAUCUCCCGUCACCCCUCUGUUGUGCCCUCAUUGCCUGGAAGAUGAACUGAGUACUUAUUGUUUUAUUGUGGUAAAAUAUAUAUAACGUAAAACUUACCAUUUUAACCAUUUUUUAACUGUACAAUUCAGUGGCAUGAAGUACAUUCACAUUGUUGUACAAAUACCCCCACCAUCCAUCUUUGGAACUUCUUUAUCAUCCCGUACACUGAAACUCUCCACAUAAGUCUCCAUUCUGUACCCCCACCCCCAGGCCCCGUCAACCACUAUUCUACGUUCUGUCUGUACCGAUCGGCUGUUCUUGGAGUCUUAUAUAAAUGGAAUCAUUAGGUAUUUGUUCUUUUGUGUCUGGCUUAUUUCACUUAGAAUAUCUUUAAGGCUCAUCCACAUAGGCACAUGCGUCAGAAUGUCAUUCCCUUUUAAGGCCGAAUAAUAUUCCAUUUUGUGUAUAGACCACAUUUUGUUUAGCCAUUCGUCCAUCAGUGGACAUUUGGGUUGUUGCCAUCUUUGGGCUCUUGUGAUUAAUGCUACUAUGAACGUGGGUGUACAAAUAGUUGUUGAGUUUCUGCUUUCAGUUCCUUUGGUGGCAAAGUCCAUUUUCAGAAAGAGAACAAGGAGAAGAUUAAGAAUGCAAUCUCAGGGCACAGAAGGUACUACAAGCACCAUUUUCUUACCUUUUCCAUUCCACCAUCCAAAGUCCAUCUCUGACAAGGCCAGCAAGCCCCUUUUCUCCUGCCUUCCUCCCUCAUCCAUCCUCCUGCACCUUGCUCUUACUGCCCAUUAUCAUGAGGUCAUUCCCAUGGGCACCUCUAGUCCCAGAUACAUCA